GGGCCAGUAGCUCAUCGGUAGAGCAUCAACCUUAUAAGUUGAGGGUACUUGGAUCGUCCCCAAGCUGGCCCA
rfam:Candidatus Gottesmanbacteria bacterium RIFCSPLOWO2_01_FTLL_46_9 rifcsplowo2_01_scaffold_12906, whole genome shotgun sequence.